rnacentral:rRNA from 1 species
CGUAGGGGGCAAGCGUUGUCCGGAUUUAUUGGGCGUAAAGAGCGUGUAGGCGGCCGGAUAGGUCAGCUGUGAAAACUCGAGGCUCAACCUCGAGAUGUCGGCUGAAACCAUUUGGCUAGAGUCCGGAAGAGGAGAAUGGAAUUCCCGGUGUAGCGGUGAAAUGCGCAGAUAUCGGGAAGAACACCCGUGGCGAAGGCGGUUCUCUGGGACGGUACUGACGCUGAGACGCGAAAGCGUGGGGAGCGAACAGGAUUAGAUACCCUGGUAGUCCACGCCGUAAACGAUGGGAACUAGGUGUGGGCGGUGUCGACUCCGUCCGUGCCGAAGCUAACGCAUUAAGUUCCCCGCCUGGGGAGUACGGCCGCAAGGCUA